rnacentral:rRNA from 1 species
GUAACAAGGUUUCCGUAGGUGAACCUGCGGAAGGAUCAUUAUUGAAUAAACUUGGUUGGGUUGCUGCUGGUUCUUCGGAACAUGUGCACACCUGGCGCCAUUUUUACCACCUGUGCACCUUUUGUAGACCUGGAUAUCUCUCGAGGAAACUCGGUUUGAGGACUGCUGUGCGCAAGCCAGCUUUCCUUACAUUUCCGGUCUAUGUUUUUAUAUACCCCAUCAGAAUGUAACAGAAUGUCAUUAAUAGGCCUUGGUGCCUUUAAAUAAAAUACAACUUUCAACAACGGAUCUCUUGGCUCUCGCAUCGAUGAAGAACGCAGCGAAAUGCGAUAAGUAAUGUGAAUUGCAGAAUUCAGUGAAUCAUCGAAUCUUUGAACGCACCUUGCGCUCCUUGGUAUUCCGAGGAGCAUGCCUGUUUGAGUGUCAUUAAAUUCUCAACCUUUCUGGCUUUUAUUAGUCCGUUAGGCUUGGAUGUGGGAGUUGCGGGCUUCUUAGAAGUCAGCUCUCCUUAAAUGCAUUAGCGAAACCUUUGUUGACCAUCUCUGGUGUGAUAAUUAUCUACGCCAUUGGGAAGCAGCUUUAAAAUCGGUUUAGCUUCUAACCGUCUUCUGGACAAUUCUUGACAUUUGACCUC